CAAGAGCAUAUAUCGACGCUGUUGCGGUUAAAAAGCUCGUAGUUGGAUUUGGAGCAAUUGUAAGCAAAAUUUGUAAGGCAUCGACCUUACUUUGCUUUACAGUGUUCUGUGUUUUCUGACUCUAUUAGAGACAGAAAGCGUUUACUUUGAUUAAAUUAGAGCGUUCCAAGCAGGCCAUUGUGCCAUGAAUAUUUUAGCAUGGAAUAAGGUAAAAGACUCUUCGUCGUGCUUUGUUGUGUUGGCGGGAGAGUAAUGAUGAAUAGGGACGAACGGGGGCAUUGGUAUUUUAAGGCAAGAGGUGAAAUUCUUAGAUUCUUAGAAGACGAGCUAAAGCGAAAGCGUUUGCCAAGAGCGUUUUCAUUG
rnacentral:rRNA from 1 species